GAGACUCUGUGCGCGUGCAUAUCAAUAAGCGGAGGAAAAGAAACUAACAAGGAUUCCCUUAGUAACGGCGAGUGAAGCGGGAAGAGCUCAAAUUUGAAAUCUUCAAGGUUACUACCUUGACGAAUUGUAGUUUAUAGAAGUGUUUUCUGUUAGUGGAGUGGCAAAAGUUCUUUGGAAUAGGACAUCAUAGAGGGUGAGAAUCCCGUAUUUGGUCAUUCCUCCUAGCGUUGUGAUACACUUUCAACGAGUCGGAUUGUUUGGGAAUGCAGUCCAAAAUGGGUGGUAAAUUUCAUCUAAAGCUAAAUAUUGGCGAGAGACCGAUCAGCGAACAAGUACCGUGAGGGAAAGAUGAAAAGAACUUUGAAAAGAGAGUUAAACAGUACGUGAAAUUGUCAAAAGGGAAGCGUUUGACACCAGUGUUGUUUUUCCGAAAAUCAAUUACGAAUGUUUUAUUUUUGAGGAGUUAUGACUUCAUCGGCUUGCUCCUUUCUUUACGAAACUUUCUUAAUGCACUUUUCGGUUAACAAGUCAACAUCAAUUUCUUUUGUUGUAAAAGGGUAUGAGGAAGGUGGCUUUCUUUUCGGAGAAAGUGUUUAUAGCCUUGUGCCUCUGCAAUCGGAGAGAUUGAGGUCUGCAGCGUAGAUCCUUCGGGGUUAGAUACGUUUGUGCUAAGUUAUAGCUUUUCAUAGACAACUUGUUGACUAUGUUUAGUCUUGUAGCUUACUCGCUGACGCUAUUUUACCUACGCUUAGGAUGUUGACAGCAGUAUAGACUGU
rnacentral:rRNA from 1 species